CUUGCUUCUCUUGAGAGCGGCGGACGGGUGAGUAAUGCCUAGGAAUCUGCCUGGUAGUGGGGGAUAACGUCCGGAAACGGACGCUAAUACCGCAUACGUCCUACGGGAGAAAGCAGGGGACCUUCGGGCCUUGCGCUAUCAGAUGAGCCUAGGUCGGAUUAGCUAGUUGGUGGGGUAAUGGCUCACCAAGGCGACGAUCCGUAACUGGUCUGAGAGGAUGAUCAGUCACACUGGAACUGAGACACGGUCCAGACUCCUACGGGAGGCAGCAGUGGGGAAUAUUGGACAAUGGGCGAAAGCCUGAUCCAGCCAUGCCGCGUGUGUGAAGAAGGUCUUCGGAUUGUAAAGCACUUUAAGUUGGGAGGAAGGGCAGUAAAUUAAUACUUUGCUGUUUUGACGUUACCGACAGAAUAAGCACCGGCUAACUCUGUGCCAGCAGCCGCGGUAAUACAGAGGGUGCAAGCGUUAAUCGGAAUUACUGGGCGUAAAGCGCGCGUAGGUGGUUCGUUAAGUUGGAUGUGAAAUCCCCGGGCUCAACCUGGGAACUGCAUUCAAAACUGACGAGCUAGAGUAUGGUAGAGGGUGGUGGAAUUUCCUGUGUAGCGGUGAAAUGCGUAGAUAUAGGAAGGAACACCAGUGGCGAAAGCGACCACCUGGACUGAUACUGACACUGAGUGCGAAAGCGUGGGGAGCAAACAGGAUUAGAUACCCUGGUAGUCCACGCCGUAACGAUGUCAACUAGCCGUUGGGAGCCUUGAGCUCUUAGUGGCGCAGCUAACGCAUUA
rnacentral:rRNA from 1 species